ensembl:snRNA U6 U6 spliceosomal RNA
CAGCUCGCGUCAGCACAUAUGCUAAAACUGGAACAAUACAGAGGUUAGCAUGGCCCCUGCGCAAGGAUGAUAUGCAAAUUUGUGAAGCAUUCCAUAUUAAA